CCUACGGGAGGCAGCAGCAGGGGAUCUUGCGCAAUGGGCGAAAGCCUGACGCAGCAACGCCGCGUGGGGGAAGAAGGCCCUCGGGUCGUAAACCCCUUUUGCCGGGGACGAAACUGACGGUACCCGGCGAAUAAGUCCCGGCUAACUACGUGCCAGCAGCCGCGGUAAUACGUAGGGGACGAGCGUUAUCCGGAUUUAUUGGGCGUAAAGAGCGCGUAGGCGGCAGGGAAAGUCUCUGGUGAAAUCUCCCCGCUUAACGGGGAGGGGACCGGAGAAACUUUCUUGCUGGAGGGCAGAAGAGGGGGGUGGAAUUCCCGGUGGAGCGGUGAAAUGCGUAGAUAUCGGGAGGAGGGCCGGUGGCGAAAGCGGCCCUCUGGGCCUGUACUGACGCUGAGGCGCGAAAGCGUGGGGAGCAAACAGGAUUAGAUACCCCGGUAGU
rnacentral:rRNA from 1 species